GUAUUUCCGCGGGCGCUGAGCACUAGAGAGAGCGUCUUGUGGCUGCGGCCUGCCCCUCAGCCUCCUCCGCGCGGUUACCCCUGUACCCGCCGCCAUCCGUCCUGGCGCUCCGGAUGAGUCAAUGAGGGGCAGGGCCCGAGGAGUGGUCUUCCCAAGAACCCCUGGUGGCCUCCCAAGGCCGGUGCUGUGUACCUCCUCCCCGACAAAAGGGGAAACUGAGGCCCCGAGGGGAGUGGGAAGAGCCGGCUGGACGUCAGGCCCAGCCGCUGGUGCAGUGGUCCGUCCCCUCUGCCGGGGUGGGCCCCUCGGGUUUCGCGUGUCCUCGGGAAAGAGACUGGCGGGCCUCGUGGGCUGUGCGGCUAUCCUGGAGACAGAUGACAGCUCUCCCUUGGAUGGCUUUGCUGGUUCCGCACCAGCCAGCGCCCCCAUUUUUCCUGCAGCACCCUGAUCUGCACUCCCUGAGGGGCUCCCACUGUCCGCGGUGUGAGGAUGUCCCUGGAUAGUCCACUGUGUGCAGAGGCAUGGGAGUUGUCAUGUUGGGAACAUGCUAGACCUCAGUAUCCUUGAGGUAAGAUCUCUGGUUCAUUCUCUGGAAUGUUGGUUCCUUGUAUCUAGUACAGUUCUGUACAUGUUCCCAGGGGCUUUGGGGUUGGUGUAGGGGAGCUGAGAGGUGAGAUGAGAAUGGCACUGUGGGUCCCCAGAUCCGCUGUCCACCCAGCCAACCCAGAUCACCUCUGGCCUUUCCUGUGCCUUCCGGGCUUGCUGCUGGGGGGAAACCUCCAGAGUCCCACUUUGGUAAUAAGAGGUCUCUGCCCUUUCUCCCUGGGCAGCAGGAUGUUGUAAUGGAAAAUGAGUGGACCUAGGCUUCAGAGACUCUGGUCCCCUGGCUUUGAAUCCCCUUCUGCCACUAUCCCAGUCAAGGACUGAUUCAGAACCUAAUUUUCUUCAUUUGGAAAAUAAUGUUCUGAUAGAGGUGACUUUUGUGGUACUUGAGACCAUAUGAUUCCUAUCAUUACCAACCAAUAUUUUCCGAUUGUUUUUGCCCCAUGUGACUUCUCUGUGAUUCCUCCUGGCAAGGAAGUUUUACAGGAAAGCAGGGCCACUUUUGGGAUCCUGUGCUGGGCUGGAUCAUUUUCCUGGACUGGACCUAGUCCACAAGCUGCUGGCAUCUGUUUCUCCUCAUGGAUCUCUCUCUGCCCUUGUAUACACCUGCAUUCAAAAAUGAUCACGGGCUGCCUGUGCUCUGGUCAUCAAUAACGCAGGGAGAGGAAUUGCUGAAAGCCGUUUCCCGUGUUUGGAGGGUUCACACCUGUCCCUUUCAAAUGCUGGCGCUUUCACACACUCCUUCUCUCCUGCCAGCACCUUCUGGUCUCAGGAGCAUUGCAGGAUGUUGUGUGAGUGAGUGAUGGGAGACACUUUAGUAUGGCUUUUUUCAGCUUAGCCUCCUGUUAUCAGAGAGCAGUCUCUUUCAGUGUCAAGGUUUGAGUACUAGAUGGUGGAGAAAGCCUGUGUGAAUUAUUUUUAAUGAAUAAGUGUGAUGAUGGGUGGCAUACAGUCACUGCCUUAAGAUUUUCAAAGAGAAGCAGCCUUUUGGAGGUGGUGGGCCUGGGCAGGUCUUUCAAGGAGUGGGAUGUGAUGGGCAGUAGAAAGGUAUUCCAGGGAGGGGUAGCAACAUGAGAAGGUCUUUCAAGGAUUGGGAUGUGAUGGGCAGUAGAAAGGUAUUCCAGGGAGGGGUAGCAGCAUGAGAAGGUCUUUGAGUCUGGGAUGAGCAAGAGUGUCUAGUCCCACCAGGGAGACAGAUGUGUAGGCAAGUAAUGACAGCAUGGAGGGAUGGCUGCUGGGGUGAUCCUUGGCUCCCAGCACGGCGAGGUGGACAUCUAUGGGAGGGGCCCUGAGAGGUCUCUUGAGCUGUCUUUCUGCCAGUUGCACAUCUGCUCAGUUGCCUGUUAAGACUCUUAAGACAGUUUUGCUGGACUCUUAAGUUUUUAUUUUGAUAUUCUUUGGGAGCAUUGAGAUUCCUUUUUGAGAUGAGUUUGGUAUGAAAGAAACUGGCAACUCAUACCUGAUUGAUUAACUGGGGGCAUUCCCAUUGACAUCAGCUUGAAGAAAGACGACAGAACACUGGAGACCAAGUACUUACAGCCUUCUGCUCUGUGGCCCCUCCUCACUCCAGGGAUGCUGCCUUGGGUCUGGAAACUGUUAGAGGAAACCCCAAGAGGUGCAGGCACUGAGCCUCUCAGGACAAUGACCUGGGGUCCCAGCUCCCCUGGAGGGGCCUCCUCAUGGUAAGUGAAUGCCAAGAGGUUAAGUUGGCCUGUGUUUCCGAGGUGGAAAUUCCAGGUCGCUGGCUUCAUUUGUCUUCUCUUUUAGAUUGUUUGGGGGUUGAUCACAGACCAAGAGUGACGAGUGAUGUCACCCUGUGACUCAUGGCUGGACCUUCUUGCCCCUAUUGUCUCAGCACAACAUUAUUCGACUUUUCCCUCAGCGUGGGUGGGCAGAGGAAAAGCCCUGUGGCUCUGGGGACUUGGGAUCCAGAGUUGAAGACCCUUCAGCUGGCUCUGCCCUGCCAGUGCCACAGAGUGCCAUGGCCCAGGAAGACAGGUUUUCUUCCAUCUAGGCCAGGCCAUCCAGUGGCCAUCCUCCGUGUCCUCCCGCCUCCUCCUGGUGUGACUUCUGAAAACCA
ensembl:lncRNA SNHG11 small nucleolar RNA host gene 11